UACGUAGGGCGCAAGCGUUGUCCGGAAUUAUUGGGCGUAAAGAGCUCGUAGGCGGCCAGUUGCGUCCGCUGUGAAAUCCCGGGGCUUAACCCCGGGCGUGCAGUGGAUACGGGCUGGCUAGAGGCAGGCAGGGGAGAACGGAAUUCCCGGUGUAGCGGUGAAAUGCGCAGAUAUCGGGAGGAACACCGGUGGCGAAGGCGGUUCUCUGGGCCUGGACUGACGCUGAGGAGCGAAAGCGUGGGGAGCAAACAGG
rnacentral:rRNA from 1 species